rnacentral:rRNA from 1 species
ACGGGGCCCGCACAAGCGGUGGAGCAUGUGGUUAAUUCGAAGCAACGCGAAGAACCUUACCAGGUCUUGACAUCCCGAUGCUAUUUCUAGAGAUAGAAAGUUACUUCGGUACAUCGGUGACAGGUGGUGCACGGUUGUCGUCAGCUCGUGUCGUGAGAUGUUGGGUUAGGUCCCGCAACGAGCGCAACCCCUAUUGUUAGUUGCCAUCAUUCAGUUGGGCACUCUAGCGAGGCUGCCGGUAAUAAACCGGAGGAAGGUGGGGAUGACGUCAAAUCAUCAUGCCCCUUAUGACCUGGGCUACACACGUGCUACAAUGGUUGGUACAACGAGUUGCGAGUCGGUGACGGCGAGCUAAUCUCUUAAAGCCAAUCUCAGUUCGGAUUGUAGGCUGCAACUCGCCUACAUGAAGUCGGAAUCGCUAGUAAUCGCGGAUCAGCACGCCGCGGUGAAUACGUUCCCGGGCCUU